UACGAAGGGGGCUAGCGUUGGCUCGGAAAUCACUGGGCGUAAAGGGCGCGUAGGCGGCCGAUCAAGUCAGAGGUGAAAGCCCAAGGCUCAACCUUGGAAUUGCCUUUGAUACUGUUUGGCUAGAGACCGGAAAGAGGUUAGUGGAACUGCGAGUGUAGAGGUGAAAUUCGUAGAUAUUCGCAAGAACACCAGUGGCGAAGGCGGCUAACUGGUCCGGUUCUGACGCUGAGGCGCGAAAGCGUGGGGAGCAAACAGG
rnacentral:rRNA from 1 species